rnacentral:pre_miRNA from 1 species
CUCGAGUAGGGGUUCCCUCAGCCCAGAUUUCGAGGGGGUGCAGGCCAGGCUGAGGGACCUCACCAGUGCACA